AUUGCUUCUCGGCCUUUUGGCUAAGAUCAAGUGUAGUAUCUGUUCUUAUCAGUUUAAUAUGCAUGUCUGUGUUCUUGUAUGUAUGUUCACGUGUAGGUAUGCCUAUUCAUAUGUGUAUAUACAUAUUUGUGUAUAUAAUACAGAUGUAUGAGGCUGUUUACACCUGUAUAAACAGACUCACACUCU
ensembl:snRNA U2 U2 spliceosomal RNA